AUGCUGACGUGCGGCGUCAGGAGUCGCCGCGGCGCCUGCGGAAGCAAGUGGACGACAGGGCCCCGGCGUACCUCAAGGAGCUUCACCGAGGAGCCCCGCGUAACGGGCCUCCUGGCCCUCGUCAUCUCCAUGGCGAUGGAGACGGUGUACGCGUCCAGCCGGAGGUCCCCCCCCGGCGCCGGCGCGGAGGGCAAGGUGACGGAGCUGCGCGACGUCACGGAGGAGUACCCGAAGCGGUGUCGGAUGCACGCGUCGGACGCGGGGCGCCUGCGCGAGGACACGCGGCGCCUGGAGGCUGAGCUGAGCUACCGGUUGACGCAGAUCAAGGGCGCCGUGCGGCGCGCUCCACGGCCACAUGCUCAUCCGGCCGCCCGGAUGGACGGGGGCGGCGCGGAACCGGCCCGCGCGGCCCUCGCCGCGUACCGCCGCGACCUGUCCGAGCCGCUGAGCGCCUACCGCCGCUACAAAGCCGGCGCGGUGCGCAUCUCGAGGCGCUGGGCGGGGCAGCCCGCGGAGGAGGCCGUGGCCGACGUUGCCGUCCCGGGGUACAGCGUCCGCGACAGGGAGCUGGGCGAGUCCGCCGACGUGCCGCCCCUAGACGACGGCCCGCCGCUCACGGCCGAGUCCUGCGUCGAGGCGUACCUGGAGCAGCUGUUCUCCCGGCACGGCGCCAUCGCGACGUGGACGAGCACUUCCGCGAGACUGUCGAGAACCUGCCGGAUCUCUUCGCCCGGGGAGGAGACGCCCCGCCCCCCGCCGACGGGGGCCCGUCGUCCUAGACGCGUUCGCGUCCGCUCGCGCCCGUCCGCUUUCGCACCGGCGCCCCCUGCUGGGGGAUGUGCUCGUGACAAACGAGGAACCCUUUUCCGCCAGCCCUGGGUCACCUCCGUAACCCGAUCGAGGCGCUUACCGUGUAUCCCCGUGGUAAAAACAGCCUGGUGCGUAAAUGGAUCGGAUCCUGGAAGUCGCACUUUCAAGCGCGAGCCGAGUAACGGUAAUAAUUUACACUGCGCCUGA
rnacentral:lncRNA from 1 species